CCUACGGGAGACAGCAGUAGGGAAUAUUGCUCAAUGGGGGAAACCCUGAAGCAGCAACGCCGCGUGGAGGAUGAAGGUUUUCGGAUUUUAAACUCCUUUUGUUAGAGAAGAUAAUGACGGUAUCUAACGAAUAAGCACCGUCUAACUCCGUGCCAGCAGCCGCGGUAAUACGGAGGGUGCAAGCGUUACUCGGAAUCACUGGGCGUAAAGAGCGCGUAGGCGGGAUAGCAAGUCAGAUGUGAAAUCCUAUGGCUUAACCAUAGAACUGCAUUUGAAACUGUUAUUCUAGAGUAUGGGAGAGGUAGGUGGAAUUCUUGGUGUAGGGGUAAAAUCCGUAGAGAUCAAGAGGAAUACUCAUUGCGAAGGCGACCUGCUAGAACAUAACUGACGCUGAUGCGCGAAAGCGUGGGGAGCAAACAGGAUUAGAUACCCUUGUAGUC
rnacentral:rRNA from 1 species